rnacentral:rRNA from 1 species
CUAACUCCGUGCCAGCAGCCGCGGUAAUACGGAGGGGGCGAGCGUUGUUCGGAAUUACUGGGCGUAAAGGGCGCGUAGGCGGCCAUGUCAGUUGGGAGUGAAAGCCCCGGGCUCAACCUGGGAACUGCAUCCGAGACUGCAUUGCUAGAGUAUGGGAGAGGGAAGCGGAAUUUCUGGUGUAGCAGUGAAAUGCGUAGAUAUCAGAAGGAACAUCAGUGGCGUGUGCGGCUUU